rnacentral:rRNA from 1 species
UACAGAGGGUGCAAGCGUUAAUCGGAAUUACUGGGCGUAAAGCGCGUGUAGGCGGCUGGGCAAGUCGGGUGUGAAAGCCCUGGGCUUAACCUAGGAAGUGCAUUCGAAACUGCCGAGCUGGAGUUCUGGAGAGGAAGGCGGAAUUCUCGGUGUAGAGGUGAAAUUCGUAGAUAUCGAGAGGAACACCGGUGGCGAAGGCGGCCUUCUGGACAGAAACUGACGCUGAGACGCGAAAGCGUGGGGAGCAAACAGG